rnacentral:lncRNA from 1 species
GGCCUACACCAGAGCCACAGCAACACAGGAUUGGAGCCGCGUCUGCAACCUACACCACAGCUCAUGGCAAUGCCGGAUCCUUAACUCACUGAGUGAGGCCAGGGAUUGAACCCACAACCUCAUGGUUCCUAGUCGGAUUCGUUAACCACUGAGCCAUGACGAGAACUCCUAAUGAAAUUUAAUUUAUGAAGAUUUCAAAGUUGUCUUAAUAGACUGGAUAAGGUAUUUCUAGAUAGCAGUCUUUUUCAUUUUUAAAAUAUUUGAGACCACCAAUUUUUUUGUCUUAAAAUUUGAAUCUUCCUUGGUUUAUCAAUAGAACUUUCAGGUUUCUUUCUCUUUUCUGAACUUGACCUCUCUCUCCUGUUUCCUCAUUCCUCCUUCUCCUUUCUCCUUCUGACUGUAUUUAUUUCAACAGCUGAAGUCUUAGACAUCUGUCCUUAUCUUGAUUGCUGUCCUUGACUCAAUUCUGGCCCACACCAUCAAAGAUACUUUGAGUAGGAUGACUGCCUAUUCAAAUUCAGCAAGAAUAAAACUCAGCAUACAAUCUCCUACAGCCUUCAACUGGCUUACUCCCCCAUUUCUCGAUUUCUAAUAAUUAUUUUUUCCAUCAAAAUUCCAGUCAUAUAUACUCAAAAUCUCAGAAUCAUCUUCAGCUCCCCUUUAUCCUUCUUAUUUGAUUAGUUAAUAAUUUCUACUCUUACUGCUCUUAAAUACGUUGAUUAUUAUCUGUAUAUAUCCCUACAUCUCUAUUCUAAUAUGUUAACACUCAAAGGCAAGAACUCUUCCUUGUAAGUUUGAACAACAGCUUCAUUUCUCCUCAUGUAUGCACUCCCUUAAUCCUUCAAUGUCUACUAUCAUGCUAUUUGCAGAAUUUAAAAACUUGGGUUUAGGAGUUCCCAUUGUGGCUCAGCAGAAAUGAAUCUGACUAGCGUUCAUGAAGACACAGGUUCAAUCCCUGGCCUUGUUCAGGAGAUUAAGGAUCCAACACUGCUGUGAGCUGUGGUGUAGAUCACAGACGUGGCUCGGAUCCUGAGUUGCUGUGGCUGUGGUGUAAGUCAGCAGCUACAGCUCCAAUUUAACCCCUAGCCUGAGAACCUCCAUAUGCCAUGGUGCAGCCUUAAAAAGACAAAUAAAAAUAAAAAUAAAAUAAAAACUUUAGGGUUUAAAUUAUAAAAUCCAACAGUGUUAUAUCAAUUUUCAAGUCCCUCCAUGAUCUGAUUAUAUUUGCUUUAGAUUCUUAUUAAAGACUUUUGAACUAAGGGGAAAGGGAAGAAAAGAAAGGAUAAGAAGAAAAGGGAAAGAAGAAAAGAAGAAAUGGAAGAGAGGAAAAUGAAAAAAAAAUAAAAGAAAGAUAUUUUUGUUGGAAAUGACAGACACCAACCUCAAAAUAAAUUAACCACAGACAUAAAAUUGCUGACACAUAUAACUAGGAAUGUAAGAGCUGAAUCUGGCUUCAGGAGAGCUGGAGCCAGGGUUUUACAUGAUAUCAUUAGGACAUCAUGUCUUUCUCUAUUUCACAGCCCUGUUUUCCUCAGUAUCUGCUUUAUUUUAUGCCAGGGUCUCUGUAAAAAGAUGGAAAAGAUCUACACCAGUUUAGCCGGCUCAUUUAGAUAGCACAGGCAAAUUUUCAUCAUUAACUCUAACUGGCUCACACUGGAUCUUGUGCCCAAUUCUGAACCAAUCACUGUGACCAAAGACAGGCGGUACAUUCCUUAAGCAGAUCUGGGAUACAUCCUCAUCCCUGGAGCUGGGUAGUGUGAGCCCUACUAAACCAAAUGGAUGAGACAUGGGGAGAGGAGACUUUCCAAAGAGAUUCUGACAUGGCAUAAUGAAUAUUUAUGUAAGACAAACUAAAUUGAAAGAGCUAGUGAGCAGGAUAAUCUACUAACCUGAAAUGGCCAAUUCUGCUAACCAUCCAUUGGUGAGAUCUUGUCAAGCUAAUUCAGUGUCCUUUCACUUUCUUUCACAACAAAUGGGCAUAGAACUAAUUCCACCAGCUGCUCCCACAAAAACAAGAUCCUCAGAUGAACCUUGGCAGAGUAAUGCCAACAUCGCAAAUGGCAAAAGUUUAUGGAGUUCAGUAUGAGGCUUACACUAAAGUUCUUCACAACAUAAAUUUGUAUAAAUAUGGAGCUUUUGAUUUUAAAGCACUUCCAUGUUGUCUAAAUUAAUAUAAGUAAGACCACCAUGAAAUACACAGUUUUUCAUUUAACACAUAAUGCUUUGUUUCUCAGGCCAUAGUAAAAGAUAGUCCCCUG